CACAAGGCGCUAUACAUGGGAAUAUGCCAUGAAAUGACAGCUUUUGAUGUUGUAUGAUCAUAGAGAGGUUUUCAACUCAUAAACAACACAUUUCUAUAUUAUUUUGCUGUAUGGCCUGAGAGGCAAAUAUGAAAAAAAGCAACACUGGAGUGCAUCACCACCAUCAUCUAGAUAGUACAGGAAUGUUUUCUCUCAGAAGUCUAUACCCUGGGUGGACAAGUGUGAGGGAUUGUUGUCGAGAUGUCCGGUGAUGCAUGGGUGUGCCUCACAAAGUGCUGGAGAAACAUGAUGAAAGUCAGUCUCCUGCGACCAGCCUGACCCACUGGCUGUGCCAGUGAAGCCAGUGGGUCCACCAUUAAUCAUGAAAGGCUGGAACUUCUUUCUGGCAAAGAUGAAUUGGGGAGGCAUGGCAACAUGUUCUCACUCCCACUGUGUCAAAGACGGCAGCUUGGUCAGUGGCCUUAAGCCUCGAACUAUGACGUGGGCGAGUGACACUAGAGUGGUACCUACAGUCAAAUGCGCUGGGUAUGCUGUUACCCUGUUCUUUAACCUCCUCCCAGUCGUCCAAAGCUGCACUCCCUGGCUGUGCUCAGGUUGCUUUCCGG